GGGGGUGUAGCUCAGUGAUAGAAUAAUGGUCUAGCAAACAUGAUGCCCUGGGUUCCAUCCCCAGUACCUCCA
rnacentral:tRNA from 1 species